rnacentral:rRNA from 1 species
UCUAAGCACAUGCCUUAAUACGGUGAAGCCGCGAAUAGCUCAUUACAACAGCCACCGUUUACUAGAAAAUAGUUAUCCUACUUGGAUAACUGUGGCAAUUCUAGAGCUAAUACAUGCAAAAAAGCUCUGCCCGCAAGGAACGAGCGCAUUUAUUAGAAUAAAAACCAAUCGGGUUUCGGCCCGUAAUUUGGUGAAUCUGAAUAACUUUGCCAAUCGCACAGUCCUAGUACUGGCGAUGUAUCUUUCAAGUGUCUGCCUUAUCAACUUUCGAUGGUAGGUUAUACGCCUACCAUGGUAGUAACGGGUAACGGAGAAUAAGGGUUCGACUCCGGAGAGGGAGCCUGAGAAACGGCUACCACAUCCAAGGAAGGCAGCAGGCGCGCAAAUUACCCACUUCCAGAACGGAGAGGUAGUGACGAAAAAUAACGAGACAGUCCUCUUCGAGGUCUGUCAUCGGAAUGGGUACAAUUUAAA